rnacentral:antisense_RNA from 1 species
UUUGAUGGUGGCUGUACGUAGGGCGCCUUCGGGCGCGCCGGCUUUGCUGAGUUCCCCGGUCUACUAACCUGCGUACAGUUGCCUCCCUU